UGGGGAAUAUUGCGCAAUGGGGGAAACCCUGACGCAGCGACGCCGCGUGAGCGAAGAAGGCCUUAGGGUUGUAAAGCUCUGUUUUAGGGGACGAAUGUCGUGGGGAGUAAUAUGGACUACGAAUGACGGUACCCUAAGAGGAAGCCCCGGCUAACUACGUGCCAGCAGCCGCGGUACGACGUAGGGGGCGAGCGUUGUCCGGAAUUACUGGGCGUAAAGAGCACGUAGGCGGGAACUUAAGUCAGGUGUGAAAGACCGUGGCUCAACCACGGGGUGGCAUUUGAAACUGGGUUUCUUGAGGGCAGGAGAGGAAAGCAGAAUUCCUGGUGUAGCGGUGAAAUGCGUAGAAAUCAGGAGGAAUACCAGUGGCGAAGGCGGCUUUCUGGACUGACCCUGACGCUGAGGUGCGAAAGCGUGGGUAGCAAACAG
rnacentral:rRNA from 1 species